rnacentral:rRNA from 1 species
UGAGCAAUCUGCCCUUCUCAUCGGAAUAAGCGUUGGAAACGACGUCUAAUGCCGAAUACGACCUCCUUUCGCAUGAUCGGAGGUGGAAAGCUCCGGCGGAUAAGGAUGAGCUCGCGGCCUAUCAGCUAGUUGGUGUGGGUAAUGGCCCACCAAGGCGACGACGGGUAGCCGGCCUGAGGAGGGUGACCGGCCACACUGGGACUGAGACACGGCCCAGACCUCCGUACGGGAGCAG